CUCUCUUUUCAAUUUCUCACCCAAAUUGAAAGAGCUCCCGAUUCGUCACCUCCCUCCGACUCUCACCGCCAGAUCGACGCCGGUCACCGCCACCGCUGCUGCUCCUCAGCGGGAGGACGCUGCUGCUGUCGCCGGUUCGUCCAGCCGCUGCCUCCGUCAUACACCGAAAGAGCUGUUGCUGUCGCCUCAGGGUCAGGCUGCUGCCAUCGUCGCCGGUAGCCGCUGCUCCGUCGGUGAUCGUGUAGCCCCGAAACAGCCCCGCUUACAUUCGAAAGAUAAGUUCUCAUUCAAUUAUGUUUCUUUUCGUUUUUAGCUUUCGAUUACACUGUGAUGGCCGUUCGAUUGUUGGAUUUUGAUUGUUGAUGGAAAUUAUGAGUGGGAGUGAUGUAUGAUGAACAUGAUAUGAAUAACAUCGAUCAAAAGGAAAGGGAUUUAUACCUUCGUUGCUAUGAAUUUGACUGUGAAAUUGCCAGGUCCGUUUUCUUGGCUCGUAUGAGACUGAAACAAAAUGGCAUCAGUUUCUUCUACUCUCUCACUCUCUCGGCUCUCUCUUUGUUGCUUGGAAUUGCAGAUGUGAAAGUGUAGGUUGAAGUGAAGAAACUGAUGUUUUUAAACUUGGGUGACCUUUGAUUUUUAGAAUUGAAGAUGGAAGAUGAAAGGUGGAAGGUCAUGGCAGGCGUUCCAUUUCUUAAGAGAGCAAGGGAUUGGUCUUGCAAAAAGAAAGUCUAUGAAGAAAUUUGACUCAAAAGAUAUCUCUUUUAAUUUAAUGUCAUUUCAGAAGCUAUUUACCCUCAAUGUGGGUACUCUUAAGAAAGAGUUAAAUGCAAUAUGAGAUCUAAUAUAAAAGACGAUAAAAGUGAAAAAUUAUAAUUUUGACAAAUUUUUAAAAAUAGAGAGUAGGAGUAUUUGUUAAUAGGAGAGCACAACAUAUAAAGAUAUUAACAUUCUACCUAGAGAAACCAUUAGAUAUAUAUAGAUAUGGGGUUGUGAUUUCGAGGACCUUUUAGUUGCAUAUCACAUUCAACUCAUAUCCAACCUUCCAAGUUCCAACUCUCUCUCCAAUUCAUUCGACUCCCUCUAGAAACCCUCUCAAUUCGAAAUCCUAGCGAAAUCCUAGCCGCUUUCUACAUUUUCGGCGAACCAGAAUCACGUUUCUGCGAUCUGAGCAUGAUUCUUCUCCACCUAGCGACGUUGUUUGCCGGAGAAGUACGCUUCAUAGCUAAAAAGGGGGCAAUUUUGAACACCCCCACGGCGAACGCCGGAAAAACUUCGAGAAAUGGUGAAUUAUGACAUCAUCUUCAAGUUCUCGUCGAAGACUCUUAUGUGGUCCUGAGGACCCUUCCGUCUUGUAUCGUCAGAGACAACACGUCUCUAAUAAUAUAUGGGCAGGAGUUGAAUCAGAAGACGUCCAAUGCAGAAGAUAUGAAGGAAUAAUUUGGGAUGUUCUCAUACAUCCCCGUGUUUUGGCUGUAAUAGACGAGAUGGGGUUCGACGGCAUAUUGAGGUGUGGUCAACCAAAGGACAUUGACCACCAUCUUAUACCGCGUUGAUUGAACGAUGGAGACUAGAGACUCACACAUUUCACUUUCCAGUCGGUGAAGCGACAGUGACUUUGGAAGACGUGGAGGUCUUAUGGGGCCUCAAAGUUGACGGUGAUGCUUUGACGGGUUACACCCCCACUAAGGAUGUCAGCUAUUGGAUGCAACUAUCUUUGGAUUAGCUUGGUUUAUACGAGAUACAGUUGAGUUGAAAGAAAUGGUUUGGAAGCAUGCAAGCUUAUCAAAUCAACUAAGGAUUGAGAACGAUGUUCCAGCUAUAGCUGGGGUGAUACGACUCUUGCUUGCUUGUACCACGAUUUAUGUGAAGUUGCCCUUGCUAGGAGGAGCGAUGUCGGGGGAGCUUGUACUUUGUUACAGUUGUGGGCUUGGGAGAGAAUCCCAAAUGUUAAACCGAAGAUGCUAAAUCUCAUGCAUAUAGACUACACACCUUGUGCAAUCGCAUAAAUUGUUCACUAAUUAAUUUUUUAAGCAUAAUUUUCAUUAAUUUCCGUGUUAUUCGCUGAUAAUUUAAUUUUUUUAGAUGGAGUGGUCCGGCGUCAUAUAUAAAAGCACCCGAGCAUUGCAUUGAAAAUUUCAGAGAUCAGUUCUCCAAAAUGCACGCCAACCAAUUUAUUUGGAGGCCACAACGAGUGUUGCGAUAAUUUGAGAUUGUCCAACCGUAUAUCCCGCUCCUCAACUGGUUCCACGGUACUGAUUUUGUGAAACGGGAUCCUCAUGGUAAAUCUAGCCGAAUUGGGUUGAGUACCACGCCAAUCAUAUGCAGGAGUGAGACAAUAGGCACAAUUUGGUGUGGACUGAUCUGGAGUACUCAAAUGAGUCUAUUGCAACUGAUGAAUAUAUAGAUUGGUAUGCCAAAUAACUGUGGUGUACUUAACUAACCUGACGUGCAUGCUCAAGUAGGCUUCCAUGAAACGACAUCUUCUCAUAGCUUCGCGGUGGAGACGCUUCAAAAAAUACGUCACUUUCUAAGUGUGCAGAAUAUGACAGGAUGACUAGAUUUGUUCACAAUUUCGAGGAUGGUUGAAGAUGGUCUGCGGAUAUCUGGGGAGGCUGAGAUGAUGGACUACCGUCCUUCACAACGCUCUGAGCUGGACAUUGACAUGCCCGUGAAGCAAAAAGGGAAACGACGUGGAAAGAAGAAAACUGCUUGUGGAGAGUCGUCAUCUUCAAGAAUAGAUGCUCAUUUGGUAGAUGAUUCCGAUGAAGAUUUUGUGCCUUCACCUCCACCUAGAUCUGCAGUUCGAGGUCGUCAUUUUAUCAGCCACACUGGUGGUAUAGGUGAAGUUAUUGGUCUCAGUGAUCUCCACAAUUCUCCACCUCAGUCUUCUAUGCGAGAUGACUUUUUUGGGGUGGAUUUAGAUAAUGUUGUUGUUCAAGAUACUCCUCCCUCUAGACUCCCUACUUCCAGAAUCGGGAAGGGGAUUCGUGGCCUGUUUAUGUGGAGAAGGCGAGACGAUUGAACUAAACUACAUUUAUUUUUAUUUGUUUAUUGAGUUGAACUUCGUGUUUGUGAACCUUGUAAUCUUUAUAUUUAAUAAUUUUACAACUCUUCUUUCUAUUCUUAUUUA